ACUACGGGAGGCAGCAGUGAGGAAUAUUGGUCAAUGGGCGUAAGCCUGAACCAGCCAAGUCGCGUGAGGGAUGAAGGUUCUAUGGAUCGUAAACCUCUUUUAUAAGGGAAUAAAGUGUGGGACGUGUCCUGUUUUGUAUGUACCUUAUGAAUAAGCAUCGGCUAACUCCGUGCCAGCAGCCGCGGUAAUACGGAGGAUUCGAGCGUUAACCGGAUUUAUUGGGUUUAAAGGGUGCGUAGGCGGCCUUUUAAGUCAGCGGUGAAAGUCUGUGGCUCAACCAUAGAAUUGCCGUUGAAACUGGGAGGCUUGAGUAUGUUUGAGGCAGGCGGAAUGCGUGGUGUAGCGGUGCAAUGCUUAGAUAUAGCGCAGAACCCAGAUUGCGAAGGCAGCCUGCCAAGCCAUGACUGACGCUGAUGCACGAAAGCGUGGGGAUCAAACAGGAUUAGAUACCCCAGUAGUC
rnacentral:rRNA from 1 species